UACGUAGGGUGCGAGCGUUGUCCGGAAUUAUUGGGCGUAAAGAGCUUGUAGGCGGUUUGUCGCGUCUGCUGUGAAAAUCCGGGGCUCAACCCCGGACUUGCAGUGGGUACGGGCAGACUAGAGUGUGGUAGGGGAGACUGGAAUUCCUGGUGUAGCGGUGAAAUGCGCAGAUAUCGGGAGGAAUACCUAUGGCGAAGGCAGGUUACUGGGCCAUCACUGACGCUGAGCUGCGAAAGCUAGGGGAGCAAACAGG
rnacentral:rRNA from 1 species